rnacentral:rRNA from 1 species
CCUACGGGGGGCAGCAGUAGGGAAUCUUCGGCAAUGGACGAAAGUCUGACCGAGCAACGCCGCGUGAGUGAAGAAGGUUUUCGGAUCGUAAAACUCUGUUGGUAGAGAAGAACGUUGGUGAGAGUGGAAAGCUCAUCAAGUGACGGUAACUACCCAGAAAGGGACGGCUAACUACGUGCCAGCAGCCGCGGUAAUACGUAGGUCCCGAGCGUUGUCCGGAUUUAUUGGGCGUAAAGCGAGCGCAGGUGGUUUAUUAAGUCUGGUGUAAAAGGCAGUGGCUCAACCAUUGUAUGCAUUGGAAACUG